UGGGGAAUAUUGGACAAUGGGCGCAAGCCUGAUCCAGCCAUGCCGCGUGAGUGAUGACGGCCUUAGGGUUGUAAAGCUCUUUCGCACGCGACGAUAAUGACGGUAGCGUGAGAAGAAGCCCCGGCUAACUUCGUGCCAGCAGCCGCGGUAAUACGAAGGGGGCUAGCGUUGUUCGGAAUCACUGGGCGUAGAGGGCGCGUAGGCGGCUUUGUAAGUCGGGGGUGAAAGCCUGUGGCUCAACCACAGAAUUGCCUUCGAUACUGCAUGGCUUGAGACCGGAAGAGGUAAGUGGAACUGCGAGUGUAGAGGUGAAAUUCGUAGAUAUUCGCAAGAACACCAGUGGCGAAGGCGGCUUACUGGUCCGGUUCUGACGCUGAGGCGCGAAAAGCGUGGGGGAGCAAACAGGAUUAGAUACCCUGGUAGUCCACGCCGUAAACGAUGAAUGCCAGCCGUUGGACAGCUUGCUGUUCAGUGGCGCAGCUAACGCUUUAAGCAUUCCGCCUGGGGAGUACGGUCGCAAGAUUAAAACUUAAAUGAAUUGACGGGGUCAUAGCUGUUUCCU
rnacentral:rRNA from 1 species